GAUGAACGCUAGCUACAGGCUUAACACAUGCAAGUCGAGCGACCGGCGCACGGGUGAGUAACACGUAUCCAACCUGCCCUUUACCCGGGGAUAGCCUUUCGAAAGAAAGAUUAAUACCCGAUAUAAAGGUUGGGGAUGCGUUCCAUUAGGUUGUUGGUGAGGUAACGGGUCACCAAGCCUUCGAUGGAUAGGGGUUCUGAGAGGAAGGUCCCCCGCAUUGUAACGGGGGCACGGUCCAAACGCCUACGGGAGGCAGCAGUGAGGAGUAUUGGUCAAUGGGCGGUAGCCUGAACCAGCCAAGUAGCGGGAAGGAUGAAGGCUUAUGGGGCGUAAACUUCUUUUAUAUAAGAAUAUGUAUUAGAUGAAUAAGGAUCGGCUAACUCCGUGCCAGCAGCCGCGGUAAUUC
rnacentral:rRNA from 1 species